GCCACCAGGACUGAUGACCUGAGAUUAAUUCCUGGAACCCACUUGAUGGAAGGAGAAGAUUGACUCCUGCAGGCUGUCCUUUGACCUCCAUGUGAGCGCUAUGGUGUCAUCCAGUAAAGGCUGAAAGCAUGCUAAGUGGAAUGCAAUUGCUUGAUUUCUCAUAAUGCCCCCUCAAGGUAUGUGCUGCCAUCUCUACUUCUCAAGAGAAGAAGGGGGCAUUCAGAGAAGCCAGAAUCCCUGUUCAAAUAGUAACUUAACAAAGUAAAUAAACUUAAUAAAGAUUC